UACGUAGGGUGCAAGCGUUACUCGGAAUCAUUGGGUGUAAAGCGCACGUAGGCGGUUGGGGAAGUCUCUUGUGAAAGCUCCUGGCUCAACUGGGAGAGGUCAAGGGAAACUGCCUGGCUAGAGUGUGGUAGAGGAAACUGGAAUUCCCGGUGUAGCGGUGAAAUGCGUAGAUAUCGGGAGGAAUACCUAUGGCGAAAGCAGGUUUCUGGGCCAUCACUGACGCUGAGCUGCGAAAGCUAGGGGAGCAAACAGG
rnacentral:rRNA from 1 species